GAUGAACGCUGGCGGCGUGCCUAAUACAUGCAAGUCGAGCGAACGGACGAGAAGCUUGCUUCUCUGAUGUUAGCGGCGGACGGGUGAGUAACACGUGGAUAACCUACCUAUAAGACUGGGAUAACUUCGGGAAACCGUAGCUAAUACCGGAUAAUAUUUUGAACCGCAUGGUUCAAAAGUGAAAGACGGUCUUGCUGUCACUUAUAGAUGGAUCCGCGCUGCAUUAGCUAGUUGGUAAGGUAACGGCUUACCAAGGCAACGAUGCAUAGCCGGCCUGAGAGGGUGAUCGGCCACACUGGAACUGAGACACGGUCCAGACUCCUACGGGAGGCAGCAGUAGGGAAUCUUCCGCAAUGGGCGAAAGCCUGACGGAGCAACGCCGCGUGAGUGAUGAAGGUCUUCGGAUCGUAAAACCCUGUUAUUAGGGAAGAACAUAUGUGUAAGUAACUGUGCACAUCUUGACGGUACCUAAUCAGAAAGCCACGGCUAACUACGUG
rnacentral:rRNA from 1 species